rnacentral:rRNA from 1 species
AUUGAACGCUGGCGGCAGGCUUAACACAUGCAAGUCGAGCGGUAACAGAGAGAAGCUUGCUUUUCUGCUGACGAGCGGCGGACGGGUGAGUAAUGCCUAGGAAUCUGCCUAGUAGUGGGGGAUAACUUGCCGAAAGGUAAGCUAAUACCGCAUACGUCCUACGGGAGAAAGGAGGGGACCUUCGGGCCUUUCGCUAUUAGAUGAGCCUAGGUCGGAUUAGUUAGUUGGUGAGGUAAUGGCUCACCAAGACCGCGAUCCGUAACUGGUCUGAGAGGAUGAUCAGUCACACUGGAACUGAGACACGGUCCAGACUCCUACGGGAGGCAGCAGUGGGGAAUAUUGGACAAUGGGGGGAACCCUGAUCCAGCCAUGCCGCGUGUGUGAAGAAGGUCUUAGGAUUGUAAGCACUUUAAGUUGGGAGGAAGAGCAGUUAACUAAUAUUUGACUGUUUUGACGUUACCGACAGAAUAAGCACCGGCUAACUUCGUGCCAGCCGCCGCCGUAAUAC